CCUUGUACACACCGCCCGUCACACCGAUGGGAGUAGGUUGCACCAGAAGUAGUUAGACUAACCGUAAGGAGGUCGAUUACCACGGUGUGAUUUAUGACUGGGGUG
rnacentral:rRNA from 1 species